GCCAUGAUUGUACAGUAGUUAAUACUCUGCGUUGUGGCCACAGCAACCCCCGGUUCAAAUCCAAAUCAUGGCA